UUUUCUCAGGAAGUGUAAUGUUUAUUGCACACAUGAACCGUGACAAAACAAUUUGGCAGUACCAAACAUAGAUUUUUUUUGGCACCUAUAGUACAUUGCACAUCCCCACAAGCCUGAAAACAUAGAGGCUUCAAUGAAUAAAGAAAAUAUAGUACGUACCGGCCAUUUAAGUACAGUAGGCUACCAAAAAUAGUGACAUAUAACACAUUGAACUAAAUAUGGCCCAGAUACAGGCUCUAUCUGAACUCCUUGAACAUGUCUUUACAUAAUUAAAACAUGUCAAUCAACAUGCUGCAGCUACAGCUUCAGUCUCUAGAGAAAUGGAGUUUGUCAACUGCCAAUUUAAGUACAGUAUCAAAAACAGAAUGAUUUCUUAGCACACUCUUUAAUUGCUUGCCUUUUAUAGAAUUAACAUUCAACUGGCCAUUCAAGUAGGUUACCAAAAAUAGAAGUUUAACACACUAUGCUGAAUAUGGCCCUGAACAUGGCUGUAAAUAGGCUAAUUGAAACGUAUUUUGUACCUCUUGCCUUGUACGGCUUCAUCAUAUUGUACUUUGUGGUGACGUUUGAGGUGCUGGUAAAGAUUUGUGGUGUUACCUUGCGGUGCUGCAACGAGGGCAAAAAAUGCCUUGCAAAUCACAUCAGACUGACCCUCGUCGUCUUGCUUGAAUCCAAAAUACCACACCACCGAAUGCGAGCCUUUUUUCGGAACGAGUUUGGUUUGAGACUGAGUGUUUGGCUGAUUCACGUCACUAGUAACUGGGUUUUCAUCAAUAUCCAUUUGGUUUAUUUCCGAACUACCGCGCUCACUCGACGAGUGUACUACCUGAAAGACGUGACUAAAAGGCGCUUUGUCAUUGGCUGAGGGUGAAGCCCUGUACUUUGUGAGAGCUGUCCUACCAAAAUAAAGGCCGGAAAUGCCUUUUUUUUUUUUUUUUUUUUUUUAUCGAAGUAAUUUAAAAAUUAAAUCGUGAACAGGGUGAAUCGAGAUCACGAUUUUAUAACGAUUUAUC